GAUGAACGCUGGCGGCGUGCCUAAUACAUGCAAGUCGAGCGAACAGACGAGGAGCUUGCUCCUCUGACGUUAGCGGCGGACGUGUGAGUAACACGUGGAUAACCUACCUAUCAUACUGGGAUAACCUCGGGAAACCGGAGCUAAUACCGGAUAAUCUAUUGAACCGUGGGGUUCAUUAGUAAAAUACGGCUUUGGUGUCUCGUAUAGAUGGUUCCGGGCCGCAUGAGCUAGUUGGUAGGGUAACGGCUUACCAAGGCAACGAUGCGUAGCCGACCUGAGAGGGGGGUCGGCCGCACUAGAGCUGAGACGCGGUCCAGAGGCCUACGGGAGGCAGCAGUAGGGAAUCGUACGCAAUGGUCGAAAGCUUUGCGGAGCAACGCCGCGUGAGUGAUGAAGAUCUUCGGAUCGUAAAACUCUGUUAUGGGGUAAGAACAAAUGUGUAAGGAGAUAUGCACGUCUUGACGGUACCUGAUCAAGAAGCAACGGCUAACUACGUG
rnacentral:rRNA from 1 species